rnacentral:sRNA from 1 species
AUGGUGAUUGAUUUUAGUGAAAUGUCCGCUGUUCCAAAAACAUCAAAUGUAUAUUGUACAAAAAGGACAACGAUUUUACCACAUACAGAGACAAUUAUAUGGGGAAAAGUUCCGUCAAAUAUUUAUUAUGGAAAACAAGGAAUUUGUACGUCUAGUAAAUAUAUUGUAUCUAGAGGAUUGGUUAUUUCUAAAGGAGUCGUUUCUGUGUCAAAAGGUAGACUUAUUCCAAUUAAAAUAUUAAAUCCAAACAGUUGUAGUAUUGACUUGUAUAAAGGAAAAACAUUAGCUAUGUUUGACGAAAUUACAUCUGAACACUCGCUUCUUCCGUUCAACGAUACUACAGAUCAUUGCGUUCAAAACGUGAAUUUGAUAAACGAUACAAAUAGUGUAAACAGUAAAAGUGACCCGGUUAAGCUUGAUUCUACUGUACAAUCUGAGAAUAACAACACGUUUAACAGUGAAAUCACGGAUUUUAUUGCGAAUUUUCUGUUUGAAAAAUCUAAUUUGGACAAAGUUCAGCGUAACGAUUUACACAAGUUUUUGUACAGCAAUAAAGACAUUUUUGUGACAAAGUCAGAUCCUGCUUUAGGAUUCACGGAUUUAGUUAAACAUAAAAUACUGUUGAAACCUGAUGCCAAACCGAAGUAUCAGAAACCUUAUCGUUUGUCGCCCGAUAAAAAGGACGUUUUAAGGCAUCAUUUGGACAAUUUGCUUGAGCAAGGAAUUAUUUCUCCUGUAUUUCCAGAUGAAGACCUACCGAUAACAAGUCCGAUUGUGCUAGUUACUAAGCGUGUACAUGGAACAAAACAAGGACCUCCAUAUGACAAAGACUCCAGUCUUUCGCAAUUUCGUUUUUGCUGCGACUUCAGAUAUCUAAAUUCUCAGUGUAAAAUCUUCUCAUAUAAUAUACCGGAUUUACAAGACUUAACAGAAUCUUUUUCACAAAGAAAACCAAAUUUCAUAACAUCCAUUGACAUGAGUUCCGGAUUUUUCCAAAUGAAAAUAGACCCUUCAAGUUCGAAAUAUACGGCUUUCAAUACAUGUUUUGGGACAUACAAAUUCAAUCGAUUACCCAUGGGACUUAGCUCAGCACCGAACUCGUUUCAACUUUUAAUGGACAAAGUUUUGUCCGGACUAACUUUCAGGUCAUGUCUUUGCUAUUUGGACGAUGUGUUAAUCUGUUCAGAGACAUUUCAAGAACAUAUUAAUGACUUGACCGAUGUAUUCAAUCGUUUUAGAAGUGCUGGUCUUAAACUGAACCCGAAAAAGUGUCAAUUUGCAGAACAGUCAUGUAUAUUUCUUGGACACCAUAUUUCGUCAAAAGGAAUAAAACCGCCCCCAGAUCGUGUCCAAGCUUUACAAACAUAUCCGUCACCUCGAAAUUUAAAAGAACUCCGCAGAGCUUUAGGUUUAUUUGGAUGGUUCCGAAAGUUUAUACCGAACUAUAGUGAAAUAACUCAAUCAUUGACAAAAUUAUUGCGAAAAGGCGCCUUAUUUCAAUGGAACAAAGAACAAGAAACGGCAUUAAAUGCACUUAAAACACGUUUACUCAACUCGGAAAUCUUAGCCUUUCCUCAAUUUAACCUUCCGUUUUAUUUGGCCGUUGAUUCAUCUUCAAAAGGGAUAGGAUAUAUGUUGUACCAAAAACAUCCUGAUGAAAAUAAAAACAUUGAAAAAGUUAGAGUAGUCCGUUUUGGUUCGAAAGCUUUAAAUCAUUGGCAAAGGUCAUACGGUCCAACUAAACUCGAGCUAUUAGGAGUCGUUACAAGCGUUACUGAUUGUUCAAGUUACCUAAGAGGCAAUGAAUUCAUCGUUGAGUGUGACCACAAGGCAUUGCGACCGCUAAUUGAAAAACAACUGAAAGGAGCGAUAUAUGAUCGUUGGCUUGCAAUAUUACAACAGUACAAUUUCGAAAUUCGUUACAAACCAGCCGCGCAAAUGCAAGUACCGGAUGCAUUAUCUCGUUGUAUUGGAAGUGAUGUGUCCGGUGAGAAUUCAAGUCCGGCGGAAGAUGACCUCUUUUUCCCGUAUGUUCAGGAAACGACAGGACAAAUUAGUAUUUCGAAUCCCGUUGAGAACAAUACACAAACUUUAAACUUUAUCGACUUUGAAACAGAAGAAACCGAUCUUGACGCAGGAUAUACAGCCGAUACCGAAGAUGAAUAUAUUUCUCCAAAAUUUAACGAAAAUCACUGCAUUAGUACAGUAUUUACAUUGCCUAAAUAUAGCCCGAUUGAGCAGACAGAGGAUGAAGCGAAUCGUAUUGAAUUAGAAUUUUUCGAUUCUCCGUGUGAAGAUACAACUGCGCUUUUGAAACCGACGUUGCAACAAAAAUGUAAACAUUCCGCCGAUGCUCAGGACGUAGCAAAGGUGGAAAUUGAAUGUAUUACUGAAGAUCAAUGUUUUGCACUAAACAACAUAGACAAUAUUAGUAUGUUAAAACCGUUGGAAGCCAUAGAUGGAACUUAUUUGAUGAAUGAAAGUGCUCAUAAUUGCGAUACUCAAGACAAUGUUUUACAUGAAUUUGACCCUUUGAAAGUUAAGACACAAGAUGAACAAUUAAACGACGAAAUAGAUUGCAAUUCCGCAUUGAACUUGCACGAGCGUGAAUGGUUGAAAUUCACAAAUGCUUCCAAUUUAAAUGACAUUUCUGUAAAUGCAGUGCAGAAAAUUUUAUUAGGUGAAAAAAGUGACAAUGAACUUACAAAUGAAAGUCAAAAGGAUAAUGAUACAUCGACAGAGGACGAUACAUCGAUUGAAAAUAAACCUGUUCCGAUAGUUUCAAGUGACGACGAACUUGUGAAACGAAGCAUAGAACUAUUUAAGCGAAGUGAUUUUAGUCCAGACAGUGUGAAAGAAUUGCAACGAAAUGAUGUUAAUUUACGACAAAUUAUUGACUAUCUUGAAAAUCAAGUUUUGCCACAUUUACAACGAGAUGCACGACGGCUUAUACUACGUUCUGCAGAUUAUUUACUGAUGAAUAAUUUGCUUUUUCACAACCGAAAUGCUAAGUGCAAACGAACUAGAGACCACAAGCCAAAAUACCAGUUAGCUUUACCGAAAAUACUCAUAAGACCAAUUAUGGAAAUUUUUCACGAUUCGCCUAUGGGAGGCCAUGGAGGCAUACAAAACACUAUAGAUUUAAUAAGUGAGCAUUUUUAUUUCGACAAAUUGCCAUCUCUUGUAACCGAAUAUGUCAAAUCCUGUCAUGACUGUCAAUCUAGAAAAAUGACAAAAGCUCAUACUAAAACUGGAAUUAUAUCGUACCGUACACCUUCUGGACCAUUUCAAAUAUGGCAAGUUGACCUCUAUGGACCUUUACCGACAUCACAAAGAUCGUAUACACACAUUUUAUCAGCUAUAGAUAUGUUCAGUAAAUUUGUAUAUAAUGUGCCUAUUCCAAACUGUGACGCAAUGACAGUUUCAUAUGCUCUUUUUGAUAUGUUUUGUCAAUUUGGUGUUUGUGAUACAAUUAUAUCUGACAAUGGAAGUGAGUUCAUUUCAAACUGUACUAAGGAAGUUUGUAAAUUGCUUGAAAUUCGUCAAAAUUUUACGCCCAGUAUGAUACAUCAUUGUUUAGGAGCAUGCGAGAGAACUCAUCGAACGUUAGCCGAGAGACUAACUCCAUACAUUCAAAAAGGAACGCAAUGGGACAGUGUGCUACCUGCCAUUACGUUUUCAAUGAACGCCUCAAUAAAUUCCUCUACAAAAUAUUCGCCUUAUGAGAUUAUAUACGGAACAAGACCUAAAUUUCCGCUUUGUUUGUCACAUCAAACCGAUUUCUCAACUUUACCUGACGAUUAUCGUGACUAUGUAGAAAAACAGGCCAAAAAGUUAGAUAUAAUUAGAGAAGAAAUUCGUACAAAUGCACAACGAUCAGGAGAACUUAUGAUGGAUCGAUAUAACAAAAAGACUAAUCCGUUGUAUUUAUCUGUUGGAGACUAUGUAUAUAUGCUUAAAGAUCCGAGUGGCCCAGGACGAAAGUUUCAACCAAAAUACAGUGGACCCUUUAUCGUAAACGCUAUAAAAUCACCUCACAUUGUGAAUCUUAAAGAACCAUCUUCCGGCAAAAUUCUUAAAUAUGACACACAUUUGGAUAGACUAAAAAUUGCAUAUGUUCGUGCACCCGAACCGUCAGACUAUUUUUUAUCAAAAGUUCAUACAGCCGAAAUUAACCGUGAAUCAGAUGAUCCUUACUACAGACAGUGA